rnacentral:rRNA from 1 species
UACGAAGGGGGCUAGCGUUGCUCGGAAUUACUGGGCGUAAAGGGCGCGUAGGCGGAUAUUUAAGUCGGGGGUGAAAGCCCAGGGCUCAACCCUGGAAUAGCCUUCGAUACUGGAUAUCUUGAGUUCGGGAGAGGUGAGUGGAACUCCGAGUGUAGAGGUGAAAUUCGUAGAUAUUCGGAAGAACACCAGUGGCGAAGGCGACUCACUGGCCCGAUACUGACGCUGAGGCGCGAAAGCGUGGGGAGCAAACA